AGAGUUUGAUCAUGGCUCAGGAUGAACGCUAGCUACAGGCUUAACACAUGCAAGUCGAGGGGCAUCAGGGUGUAGCAAUACACCGCUGGCGACCGGCGCACGGGUGAGUAACACGUAUCCAACCUGCCCUUUACUCGGGGAUAGCCUUUCGAAAGAAAGAUUAAUACCCGAUGGUAUAACAUGACCUCCUGGUUUUGUUAUUAAAGAAUUUCGGUAGAGGAUGGGGAUGCGUUCCAUUAGGCAGUUGGCGGGGUAACGGCCACCAAACUUCGAUGGAUAGGGGUUCUGAGAGGAAGGUCCCCACAUUGGAACUGAGACACGGUCCAAACUCCGUACGGGAGGCA
rnacentral:rRNA from 1 species